UGCACCCAGCCGAGCCAGUUGUUAAACAUCUACCCAACACACCCUGAUUCUGGUUCUAGUGGAAGUUCCACCAUAUCUAGCCAUGGGUCCUUGGAUGUGGAAACAGUGGCAAUGAACUUCACCUCUACAUGCCUGAUUUUCUCACCUGCAAAGUGGAGAUUCAACCAAAUCUACCUCAUAAGGAUGGCAGCAGCAAUUCCAAGAACAACAACAGCAAGAAGAAUAAGAGAGAUCAUCUUUUCCUGGGGCUCUCUCUUAGAAAGAAGGGAAAAGGAAUGCUGGCAAUUCAUUGUGCAGGAAGAGAUAUACAAAGUCCAAGCAGGUUAGGUACCAAAAAGUGACAUUUCUGUCUUGGUAGCCGCUGUGACCUAUUGAUAAACAGAGCAAUUGAUAAACACCAAUUAGAUGCCCUGAAUCAUUCCCAGCAGCUAUCAGUGAAAUUAACACCAGCAACAAUGAAAGCAAAGAAUGUUCCUGCGCCUCAGAUUGGGAAGAGGGGCAGCUGUUAAACUCACAUCUUCUCAUGGAGACUCAUUAUGCACAUGAAUAUAUGAGAAGCUCUGUGCAGUCUUGUAGGAAGAAAACUGUUUAACUGUUUCACCCAAUGUUUUCCAAGUCCAUUUGAUAACAGAAGCCAUUUUUCAUCUAACACCUGUUAGCAUCCUGUGGAACUAGUGUUAUGAAAGACACAUCUUAAGAAAAACCCAUCUACCUCAACCUCAGAAGUUUCAGAAAAUUGUGCAUCUUUUCCUGUUCUUUCAUUUUA